UUUUUUUUUUUUUUUUUAGAAAUAUAUUUUUGAACUCAAUUAAAUUGCAUGUGGGAGAAGCAGUGUUUUAAAAGUGGUUAGUAAUGUGAUUUUCCUGACCCUUUGUCUUUAAAGAUACUCCUGGGCAUGGAAGUGGGUGGGCUGAGACUCCUCGAACAGACCGAGGUGGAGACUCUAUUGGUGAGACACCAACUCCUGGAGCAAGUAAAAGAAAGUCUCGUUGGGACGAAACACCAGCUAGUCAAAUGGGCGGAAGCACUCCUGUUCUGACUCCAGGAAAAACACCAAUUGGCACACCAGCCAUGAACAUGGCCACCCCCACUCCAGUUUGUGCGUUUUCCGUAGGUCACAUAAUGAGCAUGACUCCUGAGCAGCUUCAGGCUUGGCGGUGGGAGAGAGAGAUUGAUGAGCGCAACCGCCCACUUUCUGAUGAGGAAUUAGAUGCUAUGUUCCCAGAAGGAUACAAGGUCCUUCCCCCUCCAGCUGGCUAUGUUCCUAUUCGAACUCCAGCUCGAAAGCUGACAGCAACUCCCACACCUUUGGGCGGUAUGACUGGUUUUCACAUGCAAACUGAAGACAGAACUAUGAAAAGUGUCAACGACCAGCCAUCUGGGAAUCUUCCAUUUCUAAAACCUGAUGACAUUCAGUACUUUGACAAACUAUUGGUUGAUGUAGAUGAGUCAACACUUAGUCCAGAAGAGCAAAAAGAAAGAAAAAUAA
rnacentral:lncRNA from 1 species